GUAGUCCUAGCCGUAAACGGUGCAUAUUUGCUGUAAAAGGAAUCGACCCCUUUUGUGGCGUAGCCAACGCGUUAAAUAUGCCGCCUGGGAAGUACGGUCGCAAGAUUAAAACUCAAAGAAAUUGACGGGGCCUGCACAAGCGGUGGAGUAUGUGGCUCAAUUCGAUGCAACGCGAAGAACCUUACCUGGCCUUGACAUGUAUGUAGUAGAAGGGUGAAAGCCUGACGACCUCGCAAGAGGAGCAUACACAGGUGCUGCAUGGCUGUCGUCAGCUCGUGUCGUGAGAUGUUGGGUUAAG
rnacentral:rRNA from 1 species